rnacentral:rRNA from 1 species
AGCGAACGCUGGCGGCAGGCUUAACACAUGCAAGUCGAACGGGCACUUCGGUGCUAGUGGCAGACGGGUGAGUAACACGUGGGAACGUACCUUUCGGUUCGGAAUAAUCCAGGGAAACUUGGACUAAUACCGGAUACGCCCUUCGGGGGAAAGAUUCCUCGCCGAUAGAUCGGCCCGCGUCUGAUUAGCUAGUUGGUGAGGUAAUGGCUCACCAAGGCGACGAUCAGUAGCUGGUCUGAGAGGAUGAUCAGCCACAUUGGGACUGAGACACGGCCCAAACUCCUACGGGAGGCAGCAGUGGGGAAUAUUGGACAAUGGGCGCAAGCCUGAUCCAGCCAUGCCGCGUGAGUGAUGAAGGCCUUAGGGUUGUAAAGCUCUUUUGUCCGGGAAGAUAAUGACUGUACCGGAAGAAUAAGCCCCGGCUAACUUCGUG